rnacentral:rRNA from 1 species
UACGGAGGGUGCGAGCGUUAAUCGGAAUUACUGGGCGUAAAGGGCGCGUAGGCGGCCUGUUAAGUCGAACGUGAAAUCCCCGGGCUCAACCCGGGAACUGCGUCCGAUACUGGCAGGCUUGAAUCCGGGAGAGGGAUGCGGAAUUCCAGGUGUAGCGGUGAAAUGCGUAGAUAUCUGGAGGAACACCGGUGGCGAAGGUGGCAUCCUGGACCGGCAUUGACGCUGAGGCGCGAAAGCCAGGGGAGCAAACGGG